rnacentral:rRNA from 1 species
UACGUAGGGGGCAAGCGUUGUCCGGAAUCAUUGGGCGUAAAGCGCGUGUAGGCGGCCAGAAAAGUCCGCUGUGAAAACUCGAGGCUCAACUUCGAGCUGUCGGUGGAAACUUUCUGGCUAGAGUCCGGAAGAGGAGAAUGGAAUUCCUGGUGUAGCGGUGAAAUGCGCAGAUAUCAGGAGGAACACCGGUGGCGAAGGCGGGUCUCUGGGCCGAUACUGACGCUGAGGAGCGAAAGCAUGGGGAGCGAACAGG